rnacentral:rRNA from 1 species
UUUAGAGAUAGAGGGUGCUCGAAAGAGAGCCGUAACACAGGUGCUGCAUGGCUGUCGUCAGCUCGUGUCGUGAGAUGUUGGGUUAAGUCCCGCAACGAGCGCAACCCUUGUCAUUAGUUGCUACAUUCAGUUGGGCACUCUAAUGAGACUGCCGGUGACAAGCCGGAGGAAGGUGGGGAUGACGUCAAGUCCUCAUGGCCCUUAUAGGUGGGGCUACACACGUCAUACAAUGGCUGGUACAAAGGGUUGCCAACCCGCGAGGGGGAGCCAAUCCCGUAAAGCCAGUCGUAGUCCGGAUCGUAGUCUGCAACUCGACUACGUGAAGUCGGAAUCGCUAGUAAUCGUGGAUCAGAAUGUCACGGCGAAUACGUUCCCGGGUCUU